CAGAGGGUGCAAGCGUUAAUCGGAAUUACUGGGCGUAAAGCGAGCGUAGGUGGCUUGAUAAGUCAGAUGUGAAAUCCCCGGGCUUAACCUGGGAACUGCAUCUGAAACUGUUAGGCUAGAGUAGGUGAGAGGGAAGUAGAAUUUCAGGUGUAGCGGUGAAAUGCGUAGAGAUCUGAAGGAAUACCGAUGGCGAAGGCAGCUUCCUGGCAUCAUACUGACACUGAGGCUCGAAAGCGUGGGUAGCAAACAGGAUU
rnacentral:rRNA from 1 species